GACGAACGCUGGCGGCGUGCCUAAUACAUGCCAGUCGAGCGGACGGAUGGGAGCUUGCUCCCAGCCCGUCAGCGGCGGACGGGUGAGUAACACGUGGGCAACCUGCCUGUAAGACUGGGAUAACUCCGGGAAACCGGGGCUAAUACCGGAUAACUCUUUCCCUCACAUGAGGGAAAGCUGAAAGAUGGCAUCUCGCUAUCACUUACAGAUGGGCCCGCGGCGCAUUAGCUAGUUGGUGAGGUAACGGCUCACCAAGGCGACGAUGCGUAGCCGACCUGAGAGGGUGAUCGGCCACACUGGGACUGAGACACGGCCCAGACUCCUACGGGAGGCAGCAGUAGGGAAUCUUCCGCAAUGGACGAAAGUCUGACGGAGCAACGCCGCGUGAGUGAUGAAGGUGUUCGGAUCGUAAAACUCUGUUGUCAGGGAAGAACAAGUACCGGAGUAACUGCCGGUACCUUGACGGUACCUGACCAGAAAGCCACGGCUAACUACGUG
rnacentral:rRNA from 1 species